rnacentral:rRNA from 1 species
AUUUGAGAUCUGGUACCUUCGGUGCCCGAGUUGUAAUUUGUAGAAGGCGACUCUGGGGCUGGUCCUUGUCUAUGUUCCUUGGAACAGGACGUCAUGGAGGGUGAGAAUCCCGUAUGGCGAGGAUCCCAGUUCUUUGUAGAGUGCCUUCGAAGAGUCGAGUUGUUUGGGAAUGCAGCUCUAAGUGGGUGGUAAAUUCCAUCUAAAGCUAAAUAUUGGCGAGAGACCGAUAGCGAACAAGUACAGUGAUGGAAAGAUGAAAAGAACUUUGAAAAGAGAGUGAAAAAGUACGUGAAAUUGUUGAAAGGGAAGGGCAUUUGAUCAGACAUGGUGUUUUGCGCCCCUCGCCUCUCGUGGGUGGGGGAAUCUCGCAGUUCACUGGGCCAGCAUCAGUUUUGGCGGCAGGAUAAAUCCCUGGGAAUGUAGCUCUACCACUUCGUGGCGGACGAACUUAUAGUCCAGGGGAAUACUGCCAGCUGGGACUGAGGAAUGCGACUUUUAGUCAAGGAU